rnacentral:misc_RNA from 1 species
GUAUGAUAGGAGCCAGUCGAGCUAGCAGUGUUCCACUAAUCUGGCCAAUUGCAUUUCCAUGCGAUUUAGUAGGCGACAACGUCUUUCGGUCUUUGAAAAAUUGCAGGAGACCAGCUCCUCCGGAUCCCUCUGUUUGAGUCACGCCAAUAUACAAUUUCUAUGGAUAAUUCUCCUUGGGCCUUUAGUGUUGCCUCAAUAUUGCCUGCAAAGCUGAUCUGUGCCAAACAAGCAUCUGAGGCAUGACGCAACAAUUUCAUUGCUCCACCAGUUACAGCAGCAGAUGCAAGAAGAGUUCUUGUUCCAUGGACGACACUACCAUCUAAACUGAGACUCUCUGCACUUCCAUUAGCCAACCAUCCAUUCCCAAGCGCAAGGAGGCUCAGGUUUUCCACAUGAACAGCCAUA